CACGGGUGAGUAACACGUGAAUCAUCUACCUUCGAGUGGGGAAUAACUGGGAGAAAUCUCA
rnacentral:rRNA from 1 species